GAUGAACGCUGGCGGCGUGCCUAAUACAUGCAAGUCGAGCGAACAGGCGAGGAGCUUGCUCCUCUGACGUUAGCGGCGGACGGGUGAGUAACACGUGGAUAACCUACCUAUAAGACUGGGAUAACUUCGGGAAACCGGAGCUAAUACCGGAUAAUAUAUUGAACCGCAUGGUUCAAUAGUGAAAGACGGUUUUGCUGUCACUUAUAGAUGGAUCCGCGCCGCAUUAGCUAGUUGGUAAGGUAACGGCUUACCAAGGCAACGAUGCGUAGCCGACCUGAGAGGGUGAUCGGCCACACUGGAACUGAGACACGGUCCAGACUCCUACGGGAGGCAGCAGUAGGGAAUCUUCUGCAAUGGGCGAAAGCCUGACGGAGCAACGCCGCGUGAGUGAUGAAGGUCUUCGGAUCGUAAAACUCUGUUAUUAGGGAAGAACAAAUGUGUAAGUAACUAUGCACGUCUUGACGGUACCUAAUCAGAAAGCCACGGCUAACUACGUG
rnacentral:rRNA from 1 species